rnacentral:lncRNA from 1 species
CAACGCCCUUAACUAUCACACAAAAAGCGUUGAUAAUGGGUUUUGGUGACUGGAGAUGAUGAUAGUCCAAAUAAGUGCUAACUGUUUGGAAAAUAUGAGACAAGAGGAACACAACCUAAAAAGGUGUUCAACCUAAAAAGGAAAAGGGAUGCUUUGUAUACAUUCAGUUAGAGAUGAUGGAGAAGCCCUCAGCCAGCACAGUGGGGUAGAAGACGUCCCGCCCAUUGGCCUCUGCAGUGACAGGAAGGACAGCCAAACCCAGCUUCUACAGAGAAGGCCCUGGUACCCUGCUCUACCGCAGACACUGCAGUGCUGAUCUCAAAUGCACGUGGCGUGUUAUACUUGCACCAAGGAAACACUUUGAGAGAGGACGAGGUCUACAUUUAUGAAAUGGGGAAUGUGCAAAAGUAUCCCUGAUUAGGCUAGAAAAUGAAUGCUUCAGACUGUAAACGCAUUGCACUUUGUCAGAACCUGAUUACGGUAUUUAUCACCUGUGUUGUUAUUUGAAAGAUUUAAAGCUGUUUGACAAUUACCAUUUUUAAAAAUACACAUCUAGUGCUUUGCAACUUGUAGAGCAAAUUUACAUACAUACUGUUCUCACAAUUCUGUGAAAUUGGUAAUAAACUCUCCAUCUGAUAGAUGAGAGUCUAAGCUUCUGUGGUUUCCCAAAGUUUUAUAGAGAAGAGUGGACAAAGUCUGCACUAGAACACAGAUCUCUCUGGACUCCAAGGCUAGCCACAUCUUUUCUCGAUUAUAUAGUAGAAAUUUCAAAUGAAUCUUCUUGUGUACGUUGGUUCUGACCCUGGGGUUUAGGCAUUGAAACUGAUAAAACGCUUCUCUUUACUCAUCCCACAAGUCAUGAUGGGGCUGGUGGAGUCUCACCAUUUGUGAUGAGAGGUCACCGGACUUGAUCCAUAUGGAACUAAUACCUCUCGAAGGGUAAUGGAUUAAACAGUUUGGCUGCUGAACUAUAAGCACAGAGUAAAAAUUUGACUUGAUAAACACUACUGAAAAUCUAGGCCAAAUUCUCAAAACACAACAAGCAAAAAAGAAAAAUGCUUACAAUAAGCACAAACUUAACACAAACUGCAACCGUUAAUAUUAAAUGUCUUUUUGGGCUUUCCUGGUGGCUCAGACAGUAAAGAAUCUGCCUGAAAUGCAGGGACGCCAGUUCAGUCCCUGGGAGAGAAAGACUCCCCUGCAGAAGGAAAUGGCAACCCACUCCAUUAUCCUUGCCUGGGAAAUCCCAUGGACAGAGGGG